rnacentral:rRNA from 1 species
UACGGGGGGGGCAAGCGUUGUUCGGAAUUACUGGGCGUAAAGGGCGCGUAGGCGGCCUGCUAAGUCGGGUGUGAAAACUCUGGGCUCAACCCAGAGCCUGCAUUCGAUACUGACGGGCUAGAGUACUGGAGGGGAAAGCGGAAUUCCUGGUGUAGCGGUGAAAUGCGUAGAUAUCAGGAGGAACACCGGUGGCGAAGGCGGCUUUCUGGACAGUAACUGACGCUGAGGCGCGAAAGCUAGGGGAGCAAACAGG